UGGGGAAUAUUGGACAAUGGGCGAAAGCCUGAUCCAGCCAUGCCGCGUGUGUGAAGAAGGUCUUCGGAUUGUAAAGCACUUUAAGUUGGGAGGAAGGGCAGUAAGCGAAUACCUUGCUGUUUUGACGUUACCGACAGAAUAAGCACCGGCUAACUCUGUGCCAGCAGCCGCGGUAAUACAGAGGGUGCAAGCGUUAAUCGGAAUUACUGGGCGUAAAGCGCGCGUAGGUGGUUCGUUAAGUUGAAUGUGAAAGCCCCGGGCUCAAACUGGGAACUGCAUCCAACACUGGCGAGCUAGAGUAGGGCAGAGGGUGGUGGAAUUUCCUGUGUAGCGGUGAAAUGCGUAGAUAUAGGAAGGAACACCAGUGGCGAAGGCGACCACCUGGGCUCAUACUGACACUGAGGUGCGAAAGCGUGGGGAGCAAACAGG
rnacentral:rRNA from 1 species